GGAGGCAAGCCUGGAGUUCACUGAGUAGGGUGGCCAGCAAGCUCCAGAGAUCCACCUAUCUCUGUCUCCCCAGCCUGAAGAUUGUAAAUGAACCCCACCAAGUUCAGCAUUUUUUUAAAAAGUGGAUUCUGUAGACCACACCCAGGUCUUUGUGCUUCUGCAGGAAGCCCUUUACUGCCUGAGCCAUCUCUUCAGUCCUGAAUAUUGUAUUUCUAACAAUAUGAUUUCCAGGUGGUGUGGAUACUGUUGGAGCAGUGGCCACACUUAGAAACUCACUGUUCCAUCAACAUUUUCUCUAAGUCCAAGGCCUUGAAGACUUGGUCCUCCAUGUGUCUUUGUUGGAUCCAGGGUCCAACAAUCAAGGCUGUCACCCAACCCCCACGGGUCACCUUUCCAGGCCUCUGUGGGUCAGCAUCUCUAUCAUUUUCCUGGCUGGCCAUUGAAUGCUUCUAUCCCAUUCUCCAUUUUGUCUCAAUCUACGCAUCUCCCCGAGGAAGGACCAAAGGUUGGCAAGGAGGGUGUAUUCGUUACUUUCCCCAUUGCUAUGACCAAAUACCUGACCAGAAGCAACUUAAGGAAGGAACGGGUUGUUUGGUCUUACAGUUUAGGAACGGGAAUGGAUAUAGCGAACCUGGUGAAGUUGGUGGGAAUGGGGUGGUCACGUGGUCUCAAAGUCAGGAAGCACUCAGUAACCCGGAAGUGGGGUUGGGGGGUUGGGAGGGUGUUAAGGCUUUUAAACCUGAAGACUCAGCUACUUCCUUCCUUCAGCAAGGCUCCACUUGUCAAAGGGUCCACAACCUUCCGAAACAGCCCUACAAAAUGGAAGUUUUCAAAACAUAACUUUAUGGGAGACGUUUCAUAGUCAAUGCACCACAGAGGGCCUGGACCUCCUGCUGCCCUGGUGCUUUAGAGUCUUGGAAGCCAAGCCCGGGAUUUCUGGAACCCUGCCUUUAGAGAUAAAAGGGACCCUCGAGCAGAGAUCGGUCCCCCUGAAAUCUCAGCUGAGUUCUAACUGAAUCUAGUCUCUGACCUAGAGGAGUUCCUGUCCGGGUGGAGUCUCAAUUUGCCUCUCUGUAGGCGGUCCCGGAUGCUUCACCCCAGAGAUCCUUCCCGAAGACGAUGGAUCAGAAGAAGAAAAGAGAGGGUUUGCUGAGGAGUAAGUGGGAGUAAAGAUGACAUCAUUAUGUUCUGUCCAUUUGGAGGGCUGAACGUUUUAAUGGGUCAUAGCCCAGCCUCAGUUCUGGUCCAAAGCUAUGUUUCCUGAUCCACCACGAUGUGAGAAAGUCGCUUCAUGUUCCUGCUGCCACAAAUAAGAGCUGCUUCCAGCAUCAUCCCCAUUAACCAUGCCCUCAUCCAACAACUGGUGGAAGUAGAAGCAGACACCCACAACUAAUCACUGAACUGAACUGGAAUCCAAUUGCAGAGAAGGAAGAACAAAGUGAAGAGCAAAGGGGUCCAGACCAGGCUGGUGAAACCCACAAAAAUAGCCAACCUGAACAUCGGGGAGCUCUUGGUCCCCAGACUGAUAGGUGGAAUACCAGCAUGGGACUAAUGCAGACCCCAGGAACAUGGGUUUCAGUGAGGAAACCUCAGAAAUCUACGGGACCUCCUAUAGAAGUUCAGUACUUAUCCCUAACAUAGGUGUGGACUUAGGGAGCCCAUUCCACAUAGAGGAAUACUCCCUGAGCCAAGACACACGGGGGUGGGCCUAGGCCCUAUCCCAAAGCAUACGAUAGACUCUGAUGACACCCUAUGGAAGGCCUCACCAUCCAGGGGGAGCAGAAAGGAUAUGUGAUAGGGUUUUAAUUGGGGAGGGGAG
ensembl:lncRNA